rnacentral:rRNA from 1 species
GAUGAACGCUGGCGGCGUGCCUAACACAUGCAAGUCGAGCGAACGGACGAGAAGCUUGCUUCUCUGAUGUUAGCGGCGGACGGGUGAGUAACACGUGGAUCACCUACCUAUAUGACUGGGAUAAUUUCGGGAAACCGGAGAUAAUACCGGAUAAUAUUUUGAACCGCAUGGUUCAAAAGUAAAUGACGGUCUUGCUGUCUCUUAUAGAUGGAUCCGCGCUGCAUUAGCUAGUUGGUAAGGUAACGGCUUACCAAGGCAACGAUGCGUAGCCGACCUGAGAGGCUGAUCGGCCACACUGGAACUGAGACACGGUCCAGACUCCUACGGGAGGCAGCAGUAGGGAAUCUUCGGCAAUGGGCGAAAGCCUGACGGAGCAACGCCGCGUGAGUGAUGAAGGUCUUCGGAUCGUAAAGCUCUGUUAUUGGGGAAGAACAGAUGUGUAAGUAGCUGUGGACAUCUUGACGGUACCUAAUCAGAAAGCAACGGCUAACUACGUG